ACAGUCUGUUCUUAAAAGUGUGCAAGAUUUUCCAGUUCGGAGUUAGGUGUUCGCAAACCAACUGUUUCCAGUGAUUAUCUCGGGUUCGUUGCAUCGUGAGCUGUUAGUGUUACGAGUAGCGCUGGAGUAGAGAAAGCUAUGAGGCUCGUUGUGGCAGUUCUGUUGCUGGUGCUAAGUGCAGAUGUCUUCACAAAUGCAUCUCCUUUCGUCCAAUUUUGUAACUCCGAUAUGGACUGCCGGUGGAGUGGUUUCGGGCGCCGAUUCUGUCUGGGUUGGGAGUGCGAGCGAUUCUACCAAAUGACACCCUGUUCCAAAGACUCAGACUGCGUUGGUCGACGGCGUGGCAAAUAUUGCCGAAAUAUGUACUGCAGAAGUUCAAGAAUGUGGCGGUGACCUGUGGAUUUUAGAAAAACACCUUUGACGUUUUCCAUCAUCGAUAACAUAUUGGCGUCUUGAUAACAAAUCUUCCGACAAGAUUCCACCGUGACGUUGUUCAGCAAUUCGACCGUGCGUCACCAUUAGAUACACAUAACCUGUAAAGGCACUGGACACCUUUGGUGGUUGUCAAAGACCAGUCAUGUCACUUGGUAUAAUUAUUAUGCCAACAUAA